AGGAGGAACAGCCCCAGUGGCGGGGCAGCUCUGGAAACCUGGAUUCAGCCCCCGCAGUAGCUCCGGAGAUCUCGGUCUGCAGGGCCUGGAGGCUCCGGGCGGGG
rnacentral:pre_miRNA from 1 species